GGGGCUCAGUGGCAGAGAAACUGUUUUGCAUGCAGAAGGUCCUGGGUUCAAUACCUGGCAUGUCCA